GAUGAACGCUGGCGGCGUGCUUAACACAUGCAAGUCGAGCGAGAAGUUUUGAAAAGAUUCUUCGGAUGAAAUUUAAAAUGGAAAGCGGCGGACGGGUGAGUAACGCGUAGGCAACCUGCCCCAUACAAAGGGAUAGCAUUUGGAAACGAAUAUUAAUACCUUAUGAAACUUAACUAGUGCAUGCUAGGUAGGUCAAAGAUUUAUCGGUAUGGGAUGGGCCUGCGUCUGAUUAGCUAGUUGGUGAGGUAACGGCUCACCAAGGCGACGAUCAGUAGCCGACCUGAGAGGGUGAACGGCCACAUUGGAACUGAGACACGGUCCAAAUUCCUACGGGAGGCAGCAGUGGGGAAUGUUGCACAAUGGGGGAAACCCUGAUGCAGCAACGCCGCGUGAACGAUGAAGGCCUUUGGGUCGUAAAGUUCUGUUCUAGGUGAUGAAAACUGACAGUAACCUAGGAGAAAGCCCCGGCUAACUCCGUG
rnacentral:rRNA from 1 species